GAUGAACGCUAGCGGCAGGCCUAAUACAUGCAAGUCGAACGGUUGUAGUAAUACAAUAGUGGCGCACGGGUGCGUAACACGUAUGCAACCUACCUUAUAGACGGGGAUAGCCUUUGGAAACGGAGAUUAAUACCCGAUAGCAAUAUUGACUGGCAUCAGUUUAUAUUUAAAGAUUUAUCGCUAUAAGCUGGGCAUGCGUCCAAUUAGUUAGUUGGUUAGGUAAUGGCUGACCAAGACGAUGAUUGGUAGGGGAACUGAGAGGUUAAUCCCCCACACUGGCACUGAGAUACGGGCCAGACUCCUACGGGAGGCAGCAGUAGGGAAUAUUGGGCAAUGGAGGCAACUCUGACCCAGCCAUGCCGCGUGCAGGAUGAAGGCGUUAUGCGUUGUAAACUGCUUUUAUAUAGGAAGAAAUAGACCUUGCGAGGUAAGUUGACGGUACUAUAUGAAUAAGCACCGGCUAACUCCGUGCCAGCAGCCGCGGUAAUACGGAGGGUGCAAGCGUUGUCCGGAUUUAUUGGGUUUAAAGGGUGCGUAGGCGGUUUAUUAAGUCAGUGGUGAAAGACGGUCGCUCAACGAUUGCAGUGCCAUUGAUACUGGUAGACUUGAGUGAGAUUGAGGUAGCUGGAAUGGAUAGUGUAGCGGUGAAAUGCAUAGAUAUUAUCCAGAACACCAAUUGCGUAGGCAAGUUACUAAGUCUCAACUGACGCUGAGGCACGAAAGUGUGGGUAUCAAACAGGAUUAGAUACCCUGGUAGUCCACACUGUAAACGAUGAUAACUAACUGUUGGCUUUCGGGUCAGUGGUACAGAGAAAUCGUUAAGUUAUCCACCUGGGGAGUACGCCGGCCACGGUG
rnacentral:rRNA from 1 species